rnacentral:misc_RNA from 1 species
GUUCAAUUGUUUUGUCGUCUUCUCUGUAUUUUCGUGCUGUUUGCCUGGUGCUUAGGUUAUCCAUUGUUUUGAUAUUGUGAAAUUUAGUUUAAAGUUGAAAUAAUCUUGCAAAUUUCGCUGUGCAUUUAGAAUUUAGCUUGAAGAUGUCAAUCGGAGUUCCUAUAAAAGUGUUACAUGAAGCCGAAGGGCAUAUUAUCACUUGUGAAACUAACACUGGUGAAAUUUACAGAGGGAAACUAAUAGAGGCGGAAGAUAAUAUGAAUUGUGAACUUUCAGGAACAAAAGUUACAUACCGCGAUGGCAGGACAGCUCUUUUAGAGCAUGUAUAUUUGAGAGGUUCAAAAAUAAGGUUCUUUAUAUUGCCAGACAUGCUAAAAAAUGCUCCUAUGUUCAAAAAACAAGCCAAGGGACAAGCAACUGGAAGCAGGGGCAAGUCGGCAAUCAUUAGAGCACAAGCUCGUGGCCGAGGUCGAGGUGGGACUUCCAGCUACAAAACUGGGUCUUUCGGCGGCAGAGGUGGAUGGCAGGGGCGGGGAGGGGGAGACGGACCUGGUUCUUCACGCCAAUGAGAGUUCAACCUUCCUCUUCCAACUCAAUUCAAAGGUUCAUCAUAUACCUUUCCAGUAUAGUCUCUCAUGUACCAUUGGAUCUCUUGGGUCUCUCCUGUGUCUUUUGCUUUCAUUUAGAUCCUAAUUUAUCAAGGUUCAUAUAACGAAAUGAUAUUGGAUAAGUUAGUGUGAAUGGAUUUCAUAAUAGACACUGUGAACCUUCAUUUAUUUUCUAUUAUAUGUGACCAAUUUGAUUUUAUUAGUGUUUAAGUGUUGAGUAUAUUCGUGUUACUUUUCUAUCAUCUUCAACCGUGAUGAUUAUCGAUGAAUAAAUAUUUUUACUAGAACAAAUGAUUCAAUUUCAUGCAGCCUUAAAAAUGUAUAAAAACAUUUUUAUAAUAUCUCAUUUGGAGCUCUAGUUAAAUACUUGAAUAAAUGAGAACAUUUUAAAAUUUUUCUAUUUGUACAAAAAGUUUCCGUUAUGUAUAUUUUAUAGCUUUAACCGUUUGAUUAAAACUUGAUUAUUCUACUCGA